GCGCCAGUAGCUCAGUUGGAUAGAGCAACGGACUUCUAAUCCGUAGGCCGGGGGUUCGAAUCCUCCCUGGCGCGCCA
rnacentral:tRNA from 1 species